rnacentral:rRNA from 1 species
CCGCCUGUUUAUCAAACAACAUGCUCUCUCUUGUGAAAUAAUUUGAGGUCUGACCUGCCCACUGAAUAAGUUUAAAGGGCCGCGGUAUUUUGACCGUGCAAAGGUAGCAUAAUCAUUAGUCUUUUAAUUGGAGGCUGGUAUGAAUGGUUGGACGAGGUGCUGACUGUCUCAUGAUAGGUGGAAGUAGAAUUUAACUUUUAAGUCAAAAGGCUUAAAUAAAUUUAAAGGACGAGAAGACCCUAUAGAGCUUUAUAUUACGAACUUAUUAAUUAUUUAGAAGUUUUGUUUGGAUAGGUGUUGUAGUAUUUUAUUGGGGUGAUAGGAAGAUAAAAUAAACUCUUUUUGGUUUAAAAACCAUUAAUUUAUGAAUUUUUGAUCCGUUAUUAGUGAUUAUAAGACUAAGUUACCUUAGGGAUAACAGCGUAAUCUUUUUUGAGAGUUCUUAUCGACAAAAAGGGUUGCGACCUCGAUGUUGGAUUAAGGUAAAUUUUGGGUGUAGAUGUUCAAAUUUAGGUCCCCCCGCGCC